UGGGGAAUUUUGGACAAUGGGCGAAAGCCUGAUCCAGCAAUGCCGCGUGUGUGAAGAAGGCCUUCGGGUUGUAAAGCACUUUUGUCCGGAAAGAAAUCCUUGGCUCUAAUACAGUCGGGGGAUGACGGUACCGGAAGAAUAAGCACCGGCUAACUACGUGCCAGCAGCCGCGGUAAUACGUAGGGUGCAAGCGUUAAUCGGAAUUACUGGGCGUAAAGCGUGCGCAGGCGGUUUGCUAAGACCGAUGUGAAAUCCCCGGGCUCAACCUGGGAACUGCAUUGGUGACUGGCAGGCUAGAGUAUGGCAGAGGGGGGUAGAAUUCCACGUGUAGCAGUGAAAUGCGUAGAGAUGUGGAGGAAUACCGAUGGCGAAGGCAGCCCCCUGGGCCAAUACUGACACUCAUGCACGAAAGCGUGGGGAGCAAACAGGAUUAGAUACCCUGGUAGUCCACGCCCUAAACGAUGUCAACUAGUUGUUGGGGAUUCAUUUCCUUAGUAACGUAGCUAACGCGUGAAGUUGACCGCCUGGGGAGUACGGUCGCAAGAUUAAAACUCAAAGGAAUUGACGGGGUCAUAGCUGUUUCCU
rnacentral:rRNA from 1 species